rnacentral:lncRNA from 1 species
UUUGCGCAUGAGCAGACUGCUGGCAGUUAAUCCCCCUGAUUAUGCAAAGACGGAAUUAUAGCGAGAAUUACUGACAGGCUGAGAGUUUCAUUCGGUCCAUCUGUGUGAGCCCCAGUAUGGAAGUAAUCAACAAAGCCUAGUGGAACCAGAAAGAAGUAUACAACUGGACAACCAAAAGUGAUUACAGCUAUAUGCAAUGUGCCUGACCAUCAGCUACUAAACACAGAACGUUCUUGGAGUAGAAUCACACAUUCAAAGAAAGAACAAAAAUCAAGGAACUAAAGUAGAAUAAACUAUCCAUCCUUCUUAGCCAUGAGGCUGUUAAUGAGUCUUUUCAGACUUUUCAAGAUUAGACAUUGAGAAAAGAAAAAUCAGAAUAUCAAGUCCCUGGAAGAAGUGAUUUCCACACAGCAUCCUGUUUCAACUCCAAAUUUAAAGGCAAAGAUUGUCAGUUCCAUGAGACCAUUGUAGGCAGUGAAAAAAUAAGAGGAAAAAAUUAAUAAUAAAAUAUAUAAUAUGAUUAUUUUACAUUCUUUGAAGAGGAAGAAAACCUACAGAAAAUUCUUUCUUCAGUAUAAUGGUGAUUCCAUCUUGAAUUUUUAUCUGCAGUUGUUAUUUCUCAAUCUUGUCACUGCUUAAAUGUUGGGUCAUAUCAUUCUUUGUGUAUUUUACAAUACUUUGUACUAUACCCCUUCUCCA